rnacentral:lncRNA from 1 species
AAUUAUUAAACUCAAUUAUCAAUCAAACACAAUAUUAAAUGAUGAAAUUGGGGAAAAAUCAAUUAAAAAUAAAAGAAAAGAAAAUUGAGUCAACUAAAUUAACAUGUAAAACCUGCAACUCACUAUCUAAGCUAUGAACAAAGGAUCGACAUGUAGUGUAGGAACUGCUGCAGGUGCUGGAGUCGUAGCUGGAGCCAUAACUGGAGGCACGACUUCCUGUCUCUGCUGGUCUGAACCCUCGAGUUGUAACCCCUCAAUCUGUCUCAAGUCGGUGUCACGAAUGAGUCCAGUCGACUCUCCCAAUCUUGACUGCUGAGACUCUAGGGGCAUAUAAGAGGCAGUAUCCUCCAAUGGAUCCUCUCCUUGUCUCUCCUCAAACCCUUCUCCAAUCAUUGUACCCUUCCUUGUGCGAACCAUCCUGGUACAAGUCAAAAAUUUAUUAAACUUUUUUUUCCACUCCUGAACCCAAGCCAGGGCUCUGAUACUAACUGUAACAGUCUCAACUUGUAAACUCAAAAUAAAUGAUAUAUAUUCAUAGUUACCAAAAUAAAUAAAUAUAUAUAUAUUCCUGAAAUUUCGGCAGAGUUUCCUUUGUAUUCUUUAGAUACCAAGUUAUCGACUCAAUCAUUUCUCAACCUAUAACAUCAAUCACAAUAUUCGUCCCAUCAUUUGGACUUCCAAAACUCAAGCAUAUUUCAAUAUCUCAAUUCUAUUUUCAAUAGAACACUAUAAUAAAACUAAUAAAUUCUUAACAUGCAUCAUCUCUCCUUUUUUUUUAAGUAUUUGUGCUCAAAUAUAUAUACAACCAACCAUAAUUCAACUUAAUAAUAAUAAUAACAUUAUAAAUUACAUCAUACACAAGAUAAUAAGUUAAGCAUUACAAUUUUAGAUAUGGAAGUACAUUACAACAAAAUAUUAGUUCUUCCAAUUACAUUAAUCACAUAACAAAAUUAUUUAUCCAGGCAUCUACUUUCCAGAUCGAGGGUGCGAUGUACCUAAAAACAUAAUUGCAUUAAACAUGAUUAAAAAAAUUUCACAUUUCAAUAAGUAAUUAAUUAAGGACUAAUUAUUCAUAUACAUUAAAGUGACUUUCAUAUCAUACAAUAAAUUGUCUUAUUUUCUUUUUUGAAAUUUCUAAUUUCAUAAAUUAUUUUCUAGACAUAGGGAUAAAUCUACUAAAAUAAAAAUAUCAAGAGUGUCUCCCACAAACCAGCAUAUUUAACUUCAAAGUUCUACAAUUAAUCUAUUUUACAUCGAGUGAUUAUCCCAUUAAUUCGUAAAUUAAUUUUCUUAACAUAGCCAUUCAACCAGGCAUAAAUUCCAGUAAUCAGGAAAUGAUUUUAAGGUUUGCCCAUUCAACAAGGCAUUAUUUCCAGUAACCAUGAAAUAAUCUUCAAGACUUGCCCAUUCACCAAGGCAUUAUUUCCAGUAACUGCCCAUUCACCAGGGCAUUAUUUCUAGUAACCAGGAAAUAAUUUUCAAGGCUUGCCCAUUUACCAGGGCAUUAUUUCCAGUAACCAACACUAGAAUUUACAAUCUCUAAAAUUCCUUAUACAAUAAAAAAAAAUAUAAACUAAUUAAUUACUCCAAGGUGUCGAACACCUACCUGGUGUAUAUGCGUGUGAAGAGGUUCCUUGUUACUGAUUAGGUCAUGCGUCCUCCUUUGUACCAAAAAAAUUACUUUGUCAUUGUUCAUUCAUUCGAACCGGUAAAAUUCUAAUACCCAUUACAUAUUAUUUGAUUAAAUACAACACCCUUAAUUAAGUUUAAUUGACUUUUAAUUCAAGGAGGAUAAAACCCCCUUUUUUGAAACAUUUACUUAUUUUUUUCACAAAAAUCCUUAUUCAAUUUAACCUAUCAACAUCAAUUGUCUUCAAUUUAUUAAGAUUCCUCAACAAUUAACUCCUCAAUAAUAUUAUUUAAACUUCAUUCUCUAAUUUUUCUUCUCCAUUUAGCCAAAAACAACCUAGAGAAGGAAGUGAAGAUUUUUCUUUUCUCUUUGAACUUACUCCAUUCAUAUAAUAACACUUAUAAACCUUCAUCUUUCCAUAUUUUCUAAACAAUUGUAUUAAACCUCAAAUCCCCUAAAUUAUUCCUCUUUUGGCCAAAUAUUCAAUUAAAAUGGAGAAAAAUAAUUUUUGUUUCUUUUAUUUAAAAUUAAACACUUACCCAAUUAUAAUUCAUGCUUUCUAACAUGGUUCAAACAUAAUUUGCAUUAUUCCUAUAAAUUAUAACAAAAAUCCACAACUUCACAUAAUCAUAAUUUUGCAUAAUCCUUCAUCAAACAUAAAAUCAAAGGAAUUAAUCAUUUGAAGCAUGUUAUUUACCUCACUUUGAUAAGGAUUUAAGGGAAGAAUGCAAGAAAAAUCAAGUUUUCUUCUUCUCCCUCUUGAAACCCUUUAAAAUCCUUCCUCCAAUGCACUCCCCACCUUAAAAUCAACCCCCUCUUGAUGUUUAAUUAAGUUAAUCACUCUAAUUACUCACUUUAAUUAGUGAAAUCAAUGAGAAUUUAAGUAAAAAAAUCACACAAUUCUUUCCCCCUCUCUUUAUUUUAAGCUUACGGCUAAAAGAGAAAAAAAUGGAGCAUUUAUAGUCUAACUUUCACCUAUUUACACAUUGGCCCUCAUUUCUUCUCAUUUCUAUUUUUGUCACUCAACUCUUCUUUUUACUUAAUUCACACCAUAACAUCUUAUAUUUUAUUCUAUUGCAUCCAAUUACAAUACUUGAAAUCCUUUUAUUUAAUCUAUUCGGUACUUUAUUUAUUUUACUCGGAUUAUAAUUUAGCAGUUUUUCACAAUAUUAAUUAUCUUAUUUUAGUAACACCAUACUUUUAAAUAUUGUCAGGAAUUCAUGAUGUUAACUUAUGUUAAUAACAAAUAAAGUUCCUUUCAUAGCAUAGGUGUCGGUUAUACCAUACAGUAGGCUAUGAAAGUGCCAAGUAUUUGUUGUGCCAAGGGUUGUGCAACACAAAUCUAAAUUAAUCAUUUAACAAGCAAGGUAUUAAGAAUUAGUAAGAUAAAAAGAUAAGACAUGUUAAUAACAAACUUUCUUGGAUAUAAACAUUGAAGUCCAUGUUGAGUUUAUAUUAUACCUAUUCUAACACCAUUAAUGAAACCUUUUCACCUUGACAUAAUAAACUUAGUUAAACAUUGUGAAUAAGAGAAACAUAAAUAAACUAGAUAAGAACAUAGUUAUGAUAAAAAGCAUAAACAAGAGAUUAAUGAAAGCAAAACUUAAACAUUACAAAAAUACAAAGAAAAAAAGCAAGAAUAUGAUCUUGAUCUGAAAACCAAGAUGCUCAAAUGUAUGGCAAAUGCCUUCUUUUAUAGGCUAAAAUUCAGAACUACUAAUUUGAUGACUAAUUAUUGAGUGGGUGGCCACCUCUUGACGUGGUGACAACCAUUAUUUUCUUGUCUGAACAAUACGUCAUUGCUAACGUCAGAAUUUGAAUAAAUAGUCUUCAUGAAAGUUCUGAGAUUUGUCUCAACUUUCCAACAUAACAAGAAUGAACUCAUUUGGACUUCUAGAACUGGAGAUAUGGGCUGAACACUGAACAAUAUCUGGGCUACAGGACAAAUUCCGACUUCUCUUUUGUUGCUACAAUUUGAACUUGAAAACGGCUAUUUUGAAUCUUGGACUCUCAUGAAAUUUUUAGGCCUAUGUCUUAGCUUUCCAUACAUAUAAACCAGACCUAAAUCCAUAUUCUACAGCUCCAGUUAUGAUCCAAUAACCGAAUGAUGUUCCAAUUUGAAUUGAACCAGCAUCUCUACUUUAAGCUUAGCCCUCUCUUUGUCUUUUCACUUUCAAUAGUUAAAUACAUCAAUCAAUCCUUUAAAUUGUGAGAUAUGCCUGCAUUCAAAAUAAGCAUUUACCAUAAAUUAAAGAUAUCUUAUGUUAUCAGACUUGUUAUUAUAAAACAUGUUUAAGUUAGAGAAUUUAAUGAUAGUUUAAGUGCAAUAUGAUGAUAUAAAACCUUCAUAAAAAUGCAUUUUUAAGUACUAAUCAGGUCACACUAAAACAAGUGGGGGAAAGUACUACUUAUUGCUACAAUAUUUCCCCCAUGUGUUUUAGUGUAUUGUUAAUUUUAUUGUAGGCAUAUGUAGUGAAAAACCCAUUUUGCUCCUCCAAACCAAAAGCAAAAAGCAAAAAACUAGGUAUUGAGGGUAAUUAGAUAAUUUCACAAGGGUUCAUUAGUCAUUAUCAAAUUCAAAGAGGGAAAUUAAGUAUUUUCACUUUUAUAAUGCACAUUAAAAUAGUUAUUCUAGCCUAAGAUUCACAAAAUUUUAAAGCUUGCCUACAUGGGCGUUUUAGUUUUUUUUUGUUUGUUUUUUAAGUAUAGUAAAAUGACUUAAGUACCUUUACAAGUAUAAUUUUCUUUAACUUAAGUCCAAUGACAUUUUUGUAUUUUCAUUCGGGUUUUUUGGUUAUUAUCUUGUUGGUAGAGGGGCAAUUUUGUAAUUGAAAAAAUGUAAAUAUUAUUAAAAAAAGAAUUAAUGCAUACGUUGCACGCACGGUUGGUGGCUGCGUAGUUUGGGUAACACAUAUGGUGUCUCUUGAUGGCCAAACAACGAAUUCAAGGGCAGCGAGCUCUGUUUUGAUGUCGAUGACCUCUUCAUUUUUUUUCCCUCUCUUCUCCUUGAUUUUCUUGUCUAAACUUGCAAAUUCUCAAAGCAACCCUUCAAUUUUUUUUCCUUCAAAUUUGGUUCAUAUUGUUUUGAUUGCUAUUUGUUUUAUUUGAAGUAAUUUAUAAAAUUAAAGUUUUUUUUUAAUUUCAUUGUCCUUUAAUUGUUUUAUGUUAGAUACGAUCCUCAUUCAUUUGAUUAAUAUUUGUUUUGUUUGAAUUAAUUUUUAUAAUUGGAUUUUUUGUUUUUGCAAUUUCAUUCUCCUUCAAUUUCUUUCCAAUCAAAUUUAAUACUCAUUCUUUUUAUUUUUAUUUUUUUCUAUUAAAUUGGUUGGGAAUUUAACUUCUUGAUUUAACCCAAGUGUAGGAUUUCACGGGUUGCGUGUUUGGAAGAUUAACCUAGAUUUAGAAAAUUCACCAGAGUUUGCUUGUUUUCCCUUUUUUUUUAAGCUUAAGUUUGUUUUUUUUAAUUUCAUCCUUCAAUAUUUAUUUAAUUAGUGCUUGGGCUCCGUUAACGUUUUCUAUUUGCUUUUGAUAUGAUUUUUCAUUAAUUUUGAAAAUGAUCUGGAUUAUCUCGUGUUUUUUUAUUUGUCAUUCUUUUUUAAAUUUAGCUUUUUAACAAAGGUAUUCUGUUUUUUAAUUAAAUUAAGUUAAUUGAUUAAAUGUAAGCAGGAGAUGCUCACUUCAUGAUAUUUUGAAAAAGAAUUAUUGGGUAGACAUCGUUUUAUUGGCAUGGAUAAUCAUUUGAUUAAAUAAAAAAAUUAUUUAAAGAAAUAAAGUUAUUAAACACAACUAUACAUGACUCGUUUUGCGUGAUCAAAUAUUUUAAUAUAUAUCUAUUUCUUGAUUUUUUCAAUUUAAUAUUUACUUAUCAUUAACAGUUUUUUUUAAUAUUCAUUGGCAUGAAUGAUUCUUGAUUUAUUUAAUUAAAUAUAUGUAUAUGUUCUUUUUGCUUUUUUAUAGGAAAUUUUUUAUGGCAAAAAAUAUAUUAAAAAAACCUGCAUAUUUAGUUUUUUUUAUAGAAAAUUAAAUUUCAAAAGUAACAUUAAGGAUAAAAAUGAUUUGAUCAGGUGAUAAAAAGUAACAUAGCUAAGAGUGUGUCUGUUUUAGUGGUUGUGGUUAAGGUUGAGAACAACCCAAUCAUGCACAAAACUCAACCAUAAAAGCUACUUUUUCUUAUUUUUUCUAGUUUUUUUGGUAAACUCCAUACACAAACCUCAACCUUAUAAGAAGCACAAACAUGAAGCUCAUUUUGCGAUAUGUUUUUUUAAAUUUUCAAAGACCACCAUAUUUAAUUUUCAAGUAUUUUAUUUUUUAAUUUAAUUAAUUAAUUAAUUAAAUAUAAAAAUAAGAAAAAAAUUAUUGGAUAGACAUUAUUUUAUUGGCAAGGAUAAUUAUUUGAUUAAAUAAUAAAUUUAUUUUUAAAAAAUAAAAUUAUUAAAUAUAACUAUGUACAUGGCUCUGUCUCUUAAUUUUCUUAAUUUAGUAUUUACUUAUAAUUAAAAUUGACAAGUAACAAAAAGGAUAAAAAUGAUUCGAUCAAUUGAUAAAAAGUAACAUGGUUAACAAGCACAUCCCCGAGCGGUCUGA